rnacentral:rRNA from 1 species
CAAGUCGAGCGAGAAGACGUAGCAAUACGUUUGUAAAGCGGCGAACGGGUGAGGAAUACAUGGGUAACCUACCCUCGAGUGGGGAAUAACUAGCCGAAAGGUUAGCUAAUACCGCAUACGACUCUUGGUCUGCGGAUCGAGAGGGAAAGCGAUACCGUGGGUAUCGCGCUCUUGGAUGGGCUCAUGUCCUAUCAGCUUGUUGGUGAGGUAAUGGCUCACCAAGGCUUCGACGGGUAGCUGGUCUGAGAGGACGAUCAGCCACACUGGCACUGCGACACGGGCCAGACUCCUACGGGAGGCAGCAGUAAGGAAUAUUGCGCAAUGGGCGACAGCCUGACGCAGCGACGCCGCGUGGGGGAUGAAGGUCUUCGGAUUGUAAACCCCUUUCGGCAGGGAAGAUGGAACGGGCAACCGUUCGGACGGUACCUGCAGAGGCAGCCACGGCUAACUUCGUGCCAGCAGCCGCGGUAAUACGAAGGUGGCAAGCGUUGUUCGGAUUUACUGGGCGUACAGGGAGCGUAGGCGGUUGGGUAAGCCCUCCGUGAAAUCUCCGGGCCUAACCCGGAAAGUGCGGAGGGGACUGCUCGGCUAGAGGAUGGGAGAGGAGCGCGGAAUUCCCGGUGUAGCGGUGAAAUGCGUAGAGAUCGGGAGGAAGGCCGGUGGCGAAGGCGGCGCUCUGGAACAUUUCUGACGCUGAGGCUCGAAAGCGUGGGGAGCAAACAGGAUUAGAUACCCUGGUAGUCCACGCCUUAAACGAUGGAUACUAAGUGUCGGCGGGUUACCGCCGGUGCCGCAGCUAACGCAGUAAGUAUCCCGCC